CAGAGUUCAUGCCCUCACGGGUAGAUCUCCACCCUAUGUUAUCGUUACCUUUGUUGCUUUGGCGGGCCGUCAGGCCUCGGUCAGGCUACCGGCUUCGGCUGGUAAGCGCCCGCCAGAGGAUAUAAACCCUGAAUUUAAUGUCGUCUGAGUACUAUAUAAUAGUUA
rnacentral:misc_RNA from 1 species